rnacentral:lncRNA from 1 species
AUAAUAAAUUGUUAUUUUUUUUUGAGAGAUAGGUAGCACGCUACCCGCUUCGUUUUAUUUCAUUUAGAAAUAAACUUAGCUAGAAAUGUGAAUCAACUAGGAUUCGAACAUGGGUCUCGGGUACCAACCACCAAGCCCUUUGCCAUUUGCUCCGGGGACGGUUGGUAUAAUAAAUUAUUAUUAAAGUGUAAAUCAUUAAUCAUUUCAUCGAUCGAUACGCUAGCUACACUUAGACCUGGCAAUCUCGACUCAUACCCACGGAUACCCGCGAGUUAUCCGCAAAUUUGCGGGUAUGGGUACCAACUUUUUCAACCCAAAAAAUUACGGGUAAAACGGAUGGGUACCCAUUAAGUUGUGGACAUUUUGGGUAACCCGCGGGUACCCACAUGUACCCACACAUAUAUUUUUUAAUUACAAAAUAUAUUUUCUUGAUUAAAAUAUAUAUAUUUUUAUUUACUCAUCCUACAAAUUUUAACUCUAAUUUUUUAUCACGUCUUUUAUAUUACGAAAUUUUUAAGCUCUAAGCCUUUAAAUAUUCUUAUUGUAUGUUAUUCUAUUUUAAAUAAUGAGUUAUGCUAUAUUUUUAAAACUUAUAUAUAUGUAUUUUG